UACGAAGGGGGCUAGCGUUGUUCGGAAUUACUGGGCGUAAAGCGCACGUAGGCGGAUUUGUAAGUCAGGGGUGAAAUCCCGGGGCUCAACCUCGGAACUGCCUUUGAUACUGCAAGUCUCGAGUCCGAUAGAGGUGAGUGGAAUUCCCAGUGUAGAGGUGAAAUUCGUAGAUAUUAGGAAGAACACCAGUGGCGAAGGCGGCUCACUGGAUCGGUACUGACGCUGAGGUGCGAAAGCGUGGGGAGCAAACAGG
rnacentral:rRNA from 1 species